CUUCGUGUUAUGCACGGACCUAACCUAAUACAAGUACAACUAUCUAUGAUUCUUGAUAUUUUCUCAUCAUCAUUUGUUCUUUUCUUCUUAUCUCUCAAAAGUCUCUCAUCUGCAAAUCCUUAAAAACUAAACAUGGUUUAUUGCAACUUGCAACUUGAAAGAAUGUCCUAGUGCCAAUAAUCAUGUAGAUCUAUGUAUAGGUGGUUUGAAUUGAAUUCUAAUCUUCAAUUGCAUGUUUGAAAUUUGUUUUUAACAUUCCUGUGAAUUCUAUCUAUCUUAAUCAUCAUACGAUUUGCCAGGGAUUUGCGUUAGAGCUAUCUUGUUGAUCAUCAUCUGGUUUUCCUGUUACUGGUACUUUUUUUUAUAAUCCAAUUAUUAAUAAUUGUUUUGUUCUAUUAUGCUUUAUAUAAUAAUAAUAAUAUCCCUGCAACAAAUUAUUUCUGAGGAUUCAAUUUUAAGGGUGGUUUUGGUUCUCUUGCUAUGUCUAUCUAAAGUUUCCUUGAUAGAACCAAGGAUGGUUUUUUUUGAAAGGUAAACAAUCAAUAUAUUAAUAAGAAAAAAGAUACAAAUUACACACCUUACUUUCAUUAUAAUUCAUCAAUAUAUUGGGAUUGAGAUUGGGAGGUUAGACACAAGGUCUUAGGUGAAUAACAGAGUAUAUUUCAGCUCGAUUUUGGUGUUCAUCAAGUUAAAUUUAUAUGGAAAUUGUAUUUAGCGUCCACUAUUGUAUAGCUUGCCUUGAUUCUCACCAUUCGGUCAUGGUCAUUGGCUUAUUGUGUUUAGAAUGAGCUAGCCGCCUAUUUCAGAGUUCUGAUUUCUCUCAUAACUUUUGUUCAUUUGAGAAUCCUCAAGGUCUUAAUUUGUACAUUUGAGAUGAAUCUAUAUAUGUGCAUUCAUAGUCCCCGAUAUUUCAAUUGAGAAGUUCGCUUGGUCAAAAUCAGCAGUUCCUACUACAGUAUUUUUUCCAUCUACUGACCAAACAUCCUUCUUGUCUUAUUGAAAUUUUGGUAUCUUGUCCUUGAUGCCAGAGUGAUUGAACAGGUCUAAGUUACCCUCACUCUCCUGCAUUUCCUUCCAUUUUACCCAGUACUUUGCAAAUGUGUGGCUCACCUCCUUACACAUUAUUUAGUUGUGAUGUAGGCAUCGUCAAGGCAAUUUCUGUCUAACUAUAAUGAUGUACUCAUUAUCAAGGCAAUCCCUUGCCGACUCCUCUCCAUUUGUAUUUCGAAGUCAGCAUGAUAAAACAUGAGCAAAUAGCAAAAUAUAUUUGUUGUAUUUUUAACUGGAAAGAAGUUUGAAGCUUGUACUUCUCCCCUACCUUUUAUUUUUGUCACAGAGAGGGUCCACAUCUCCGAAUUUAGCCCUUUUAUCUCGUCCUGAACACCGUGGUUUGUAAAGUUGUUGAAAUGUUUCAUCAUCAGUUUAGUUGUUGUCUCUUAGUAUGACUUGUUGUUGCCAAUGUGCUAUUACCCUGUCCGUGCCAAAGUGAUUACCAUGCAGAUUUAUUAUGCUUAACUAGAAACCCACACAUUAGAAUCUUAGCAGUCAGAACUCAGAAGCACAAAGGAGGUAAAAAGACAAAUUCUAGUGUAUGAGCCUGUGGCUCAGCAGAUGCAUCCGUCUCACAAAGGGGAGAGGUUUGGGUUCGAAACACACAACACCUGAUUGUUUGAUAAAAAGUUUCCUAACGUAAUUUAAAAGGGUCGGGUCCCCUCACACUCGCUUGCCAAUUAAAAUAAAAAAGAGAAAUUUUAUUAAAAUGGAAAGCUAAAUAAAAACCUAUUGUUUGGAAUUAAGAGUAAGGAUACAAUAAAAGUAAUCAAAACCAUCAUAGCCUGAAAAGGCGCCAGGAUAAAAAUGAGUCCUAUUACUAUAUAUUUGAUCCGAUAAAACGCGAAUCUUUGAAUUUGGGGUCAAGAGGAUCUGAUAAAACGCUGCUGUUCUCCUGAAAAGAAAAGAUAAAUGCCAACGUCAGCCACAUGUUUAAGCAAUUAAACAAUACCAGUAAGAGUUGCUAGGGUAAGUCGAGAUAGACUAAUGCGACAAUAUUAAAAGAAAAGAAAUGUGAUAGCCAAGUUAUUAAAAUAUAUAGCUCAGUAAUGUAAUGAGUGUCAUAAUUAUAUAUACUGACACAACAAUAAGUAAAAUCUAAUCUAUAGAAGCCAUUACCAUAAAAUUAAUUCCAUGAUAAUGUGAGAUCAGAGUUGGAGAAAGACACAUAGAAUACGAAAAACAGAAGUUAUCUAA
rnacentral:lncRNA from 1 species